AGCGACAUGGCCGAGCGGUAAGGUGGGGGACUACAAAUCCCUUAUUCCCUAGUUUAAAUCCAGGUGUCACCU
rfam:Gossypium hirsutum cultivar TM-1 unplaced genomic scaffold scaffold506.1, whole genome shotgun sequence